rnacentral:rRNA from 1 species
CCUACGGGAGGCAGCAGUAAGGAAUAUUGGACAAUGGAGGCAACUCUGAUCCAGCCAUGCCGCGUGAAGGAUGAAGGCGCUACGCGUUGUAAACUUCUUUUCUACUAGAAAAAACAUUUGGUUUCGUACCGAAUCUGAUUGUACAGUAGGAAUAAGCACCGGCUAACUCCGUGCCAGCAGCCGCGGUAAU